CCCUUAGAUGUUCUGGGCUGCACGCGCGCUACACUGAAGCGUUCAACGAGUAUUCACCUUGCCCGGGAGGGUUGGGUAAUCUUUUGAAAACGCUUCGUGAUGGGGAUAGAUUAUUGCAAUUAUUAAUCUUCAACGAGGAAUUCCUAGUAAGCGCAGAUCAUCAAUCUGCAUUGAUUACGUCCCUGCCCUUUGUACACACCGCCCGUCGCACCUACCGAUUGGAUGGUCCGGUGAAGCCUCGGGAUUGUGGUUCUUGCCGCUUUAUUGUGGCGUGACCGCGAGAACUUGUCUAAACCUUAUCAUCUAGAGGAAGGUGAAGUCGUAACA
rnacentral:rRNA from 1 species